UACGAAGGGGGCGAGCGUUGUUCGGAUUUACUGGGCGUAAAGGGCGCGCAGGCGGCUACAUUUGUCAGGCGUGAAAGCCCCGGGCUUAACCGGGGAACUGCGUCUGAUACUGGAUGGCUUGAGAUUGGGAGAGGGAUGCGGAAUUCCAGGUGUAGCGGUGAAAUGCGUAGAUAUCUGGAGGAACACCGGUGGCGAAGGCGGCGUUCUGGACUGUAACUGACACUGAGUGAACAAAAGCCAGGGGAGCAAACGGG
rnacentral:rRNA from 1 species